GACGAACGCUGGCGGCGUGCUUAACACAUGCAAGUCGAACGCUGAAGCUCAGCUUUUGUUGGGUGGAUGAGUGGCGAACGGGUGAGUAACACGUGAGUGACCUGCCCCCUUCUUUGGGAUAACGCCCGGAAACGGGUGCUAAUACUGGAUAUUCACUGGUCUUCGCAUGGGGGUUGGUGGAAAGGGUUUUUCUGGUGGGGGAUGGGCUCGCGCCCUAUCAGCUUGUUGGCGGGGUGAUGGCCUACCAAGGCUUUGACGGGUAGCUGGCCUGGGAGAGUGACCGGUGACAUUGGGACUGAGAUACGGCCCAGAGUCCCACGGGAGGCAGCAGUGGAGAAUAUUGCACAAUGGGCGCAAGGCUGAUGCAGCGACGCCGCGUGAGGGAUGGAGGCCUUCGGGUUGUGAACCUCUUUCGCUCAUGGUCAAGCCGCAACAAUGGUUGUGGUGAGGGUAGUGGGUAAAGAAGCGCCGGCUAACUACGUG
rnacentral:rRNA from 1 species